AUUUAUACCUUAUAAGAGAAAUACCGUGUUGUAAAAAUGGUUUUCUCAGAGAGAGGCUCAUCCAUUGCACUUUGGGUGUGCUGUUGACCCCUGCAAUUUCCGCAAAUGUGGGAAAGUCAACUACAUAAUGGAGAUAUUAUGUUUGUGAUUUCUCUU
rnacentral:snRNA from 1 species